AUCAGGGAUGGAGGGUGUCCUCUUGCCUCCAUGGGUCACAACUGAGAAUACCAAAUUCAGGACAAGCUGCUGGAAAAAAGGGGCAGACACACACCAAAACUGGUAGUUAUUCUUCCAUGAGAAUACCAAACCAGCUACUUUCUGUUU